CAGGGAGAAACAGUACAUUUUAUCAUAGGGCUGGACAACUACCCACACAAGAUGCCACUUGCAUGGACUGGUUUUUGCUCAGAUGUGCAGAGAAUAUGUAUAGGGAGAAAGAAAUGCAUAUGUGUGCAGGUUGGGGCAUUGUGCCAUGAAGCCUGGAAGAAUUUUCUUUGGAUCCACAAUCUAAAUGGAUUUCCAGGAGGGAGCUGGUCUGAGCACACGCUUCUUCUAUGUGCUACACAUGACCCCAUCCCGCCAGGCAGGUCCUCAGGAGAGCAAUCGGCACCUGCUUCAGCUAUGGCUAGAGCUCGUUGGCCCAUGCGGUGGGCAGAAAACUGAAAUGAGGACAGAGAAGCGUCUCAAAGACUCAAGGAGGAGUUCAGUCUCUCACCACCUUCCUGCAGGUCUUCUGAAUACUUCUGAGCAUAGGAGCCUCUUCCUUCAACAGGCAAGUCAGUAGUUGCUGAGAUACACCACGACACAAGCUUGAGCCAGGGUUGCUAUCAACCAUCAGCUGUCCACUGAGCACUGACUGUGUGCCAUGCAUUGUGCUAAGCACUCUCUCAUUUAAUCCUUACAACAAUCCCAAUGAGGAAGAAAAUCUACAUUUCCAUGAAAAUGUCAAAAGAGAAAUGAAUCUGCUUUAAAGAACAGCGGAAGAAGACGGACUCAUCUCGUGCUGGAUCUUGCAACUUUGUCAUUUUGCAGUUUGUCUCUUGGUUUAAGAGAGUCCGUCCCCAGCCUGUGGUGGUGACACAGCCUUGCUGGGGUAUUCCUGGUUCCCUCACUGUGAGUGUGUCAAAGGGGGUUCAUCCACUCUGGACAGAGGGAAGAGGGUCGUGAACAGAGAGCAAGGGGAAGCAGAGGAGAGGGCCAGUGGGGUCUGGGAGAGCCCCAGGGAGCUCCACAACUAAAGCCAAGAUGCACACACCAAUUGCCCAUCGGCUAACUGCGAAGUCUGGGGGAGAUGGGACAAAAACGAUGAGGUAAACUCUUCCACCCCAAGGGGAACAAGGAAAAAUAAUUUUCCCUCUGCUUUGAGGGGACCUUUAUGUCUUUCCCAAACUGGAUAACUCCUUGGGAGAUAGUAAAUCGUGAUAGUUUCUCCCUGUCCCUCUAGUCAACUACCUUUCUAAAGGGAAUCUACGUAAGCCCCCCUUUAGCUCAGCCCACCUCUUUCCUUUCCUUUCUGUUCACCCGACUCUGUGCCAGGCACUGCUUGGCACAAGAAGGGCAGGUAAGAACACUGGGAGGACUGUGUUUUGGGAUAAGGAAGGAACAAGGCAAACAUAUUAUGGGACAAGUGCUGUCCUAGGGGCAGGACAACGUGGUAGCUAAUGGGUUGAGGUGGACAGGAAGGGCUUCCAGGGGCACAGGCACUGAGCUAGGUCUUCAGAGACGCUGUAAGCAGUCUCCCAGUGCCUCUGAGAGAGGAUGGCAAUUCUAGCAAAGACAUGAGAGCGAUGGAUGUCUCUGCCACGUGCCUGGUGGGCAGCAGCAUCUGGAUCACAGAAGUGCGCAGAGGAGAUCUGGGGCUAUAAGGCUACUGCACAGGUGAGGUGACCUCCAGAGGCCCUUGACUGACCUGCUGAGGGACCAGUAAUGAGGGGAAGAGUUGGGAGUGAUGUCUUCCUGGAAGUGGAUGUCCAUGUGGAACAGUAUGAAGAUGUGGUUCUCUUAUCUUUGGUCAUGUCUUCCGUUUGGGGAGAAGAAAUUCUAAAUUUAUAAUUUAAUCAGAUGACCAGAAAAACAGUUAUCUGGGUGCUGAGGAAUGGUUCAUUCAUUCAUUCAUAACAGUUCUUGUGCCUCUGUUUAUAUUUUCUACUGCUGAAGUUUCUGUGGUGGCUACACAGAUUGUUAAGGCUUGGUUCUAAUCUCAAAAAUCUUACAGCUAGGGCACCUUGGAGGCUCAGUAGUUGAACAUCUGCCUUGGGCUCAGGUUGUGAUUCCGGGGUCUGGGAUCAAGUCCCACAUCAAGGCUCCCCAUGAGGAGCCUGCUUCUCCCUCUGCUUAUGUCUCUGCCUCUCUCUGUGUGUCUUUCAUGAAUAAAUAAAUAAAAUCUUAAAAAAAAAAAAAAAGGAAUCUUACAGCCAGAAGGAGAGAGAGGUGAGUACUAACCCUGUGCUGUUAAUCCAUAAACUGAGCUGGUCACAUUAUUGACAUACCACCACUUAAAUGCCUCAAUGGACUUCUAUUUCUCUCAGGAAAAAUACAAACUGUUACUCAGGCUAAAGCAUUCCUAUCUGGUCUUACCUCCUGAGACCCAUCUCCUACCACCUCCCUCCUUUUCCCUCACUGUCCUUUCAGUGAUCCUCAUUAGAUUACCUUCAACCACAGGCCCUUAACACAUGCUGUUCACUCUACCACCAUCAUCUCCCCUGGUUCAUGUCCACUUAUCCCUAAGUCCACAUCCAUGUUGCCUCCUCAGGGAAGGCUUUCCGGGUCUACCUGAAUGGACUCUGUCCCUAUGACACAUUCUCAUACUCCACAUAACAUCCUUCAUAACUCUUAUCUCAGUCAUGGUUAUUUUGUAUUUAUUUACAUGAUAACUUUAUCAAUAUCUAUAUUUGCCACCAGACUGUAAGCUUCAAGAGACCAAGAACUGUGUGUUUUCAAAAAAAUCAACUUUACUAAGGCAUAAUUUUUGUACAACAAACACAUGCAUUUCAUAUAUACACUUCGAUGAGUUUUGACAAGUUUACACAAAAAUGUAUACACUGUGUAAUCACCACUGCAGUCAAGAUAUAGACAGUUUCCAGAAAGUUCCUCUUUGCCUCAUCCUGGUCCAUCUGUCCCUGGCCUCAGGUAACCAACUGCUCUGCUUACUAUCUCUAUAGAUUCGCGUUUUCUAGUUUCAUAUAAAGCAAUCAGUAAGCAUUCUGCUGUGUCUAGCUUCUCUUUUUCCAUUCAAUAUAAUAUUUUCAGGAAUCAUCCUUGCUGUGUCUAUCAGUAGUUCAUGGCUUUUCAUUGCUGAAUACUCUUCUCCAUUUGAUUCAUGGAAGUCACCCCUGUCUCUUAAUGAUUCAUCACCUCUUUAAGGGCAGGGGCUGCAUUGUCUGACACCCUGAUACUUGAUAUGGGCCUAGGCACAUAGACAACCUUUAGGAGUGGUGUAGCCCAUUUUCCUGGACCCAAGGCAUGUGAGUGACCACUCUGUACCCACACCCAACAGUCACCCCGACAUUAACAGUCUUCCCCUCCAUGUCCACAGGCUGACCUUCUGGGUCCUGGGGGCCCAAAUACAUCUACUUCUCUUCAGAAUCAGUCUGAUGCUUCCCACAGCCAUGGGGAGAAGUCCUGGGUCAGCCACAGCGAUUAGGAAGCGAAGCCGGGUGAUCAUGGGCUGAUCCUUUCAACACUGUGAACUUUGAUUUCCUCAACUGUUAAAUAGAGACACUGCUGUCUACCUCAUAGGGUCAUUAAGUGGGCACAUAUGUGUGAAAGUGCUGUUUGAACGUGGAGAAUACGAUACUGUAUAGUCAGAGUAAAUUUAAUCAUUUCAUUGAAUUGAUGAUGGUCUGUUACCUUGGACUUAGUAUAUUCAAUUUCUUUUCCCAUCAAAUGAGAGGUUGAGCUUGUAUUUCCUUAGAUGACUUCUAUCUUGAAACUUGAAACCUAAGGUGUUGGUGUAUCAGAGAAAUGGCCUGAUUGUCCAGAAUUAGAAAAUUUUAUGUGAUUUUAUUUUAGAGAACAACUGGCUUCUCUGAGAAUUCUCUUCUUGAGUAAAGGAUUCAGCUCUAGUUUUGAGAACAAAUCAGGGUUUUUGCAUCAAUAGGCUUAAAUCUGUAAUUUUUUCCAAGUGCAUCACAGAGAAUAAUAGAGCUCCAUGCUUCCUGGUCUGCGGGCUGGUGCUGUGACGCAUGUCUUUUGCUGGACCUGGAUCUCUUUGAUGGGGAAAAAAGUGUCCCCAUUACUAGUGGAGCAGGAGCAGGAACAGGGUUCCACUUUGCAAGCUAACAGUUCAGUUCAAACCACUGCUUUGUGGGGAAUGUCACUCAACAGAGGAUUCUGAGGGCCUACUAUGCGUUAGGGGCUUUAUAUGUAUUGUCACUCUCGACCACCCUGUGCUGGAGGAACUAAACCCCAAUUUAAGGCAGAGAAAUGGCUCCAUGAGGUGUGGCUUGCCAUGCUCCCUCAGUUAGUAAAUGACCAAGCUGGGGCUAGAACACCAGCUUUCCACUCUGAAAGGCCCUGCCCUAGACAUAGGGGUGCAAAGACAGUCCAGUUACACUUGAAUUCUUAGCUGCCAGGAAGAGAAAGCAGUGGUUUAAUAUUCACGGAAAAGAAAUCCAAGAAUGUCAAGGCUGUUAGUAACUCAUCAUCUAGUUCAACUCCCUUGUUUUGCUGGUGAGCAGACAGGGGUCCAAAGAAGUGGUCUGACUUGCCUGGGGUGACACUGCCAGCUGGCUGCGAAUAAGAGCUAUGGCCCAGGCCUCCUGACUCCCAGAUUAGGACUUUCCUGGCCAUGGCAUGCCCUGGGGCAGAACAGAAAUUGCUGCCAGAAACAAGGAAGCAGGGAACCAGGAACAAGGCUAUUUUUUCAAAUCACUGUCUCCAGCAUGCCGGGUUCAGAGUGAAGGAGAACGGUGUUCUGGAAACCAGUCAGCAGAAACCAUUUCAUAACUGCCCUUAAAAAACCACAAUGCUGUGUCCUUUUCCUGUGACCUCUGAUGGACUCAAGGACAAAUCUCAGACCAGCCCUUUUGUGAGAUUCCAUUUCCUGGCUCCCUCCCACCCCCAGGUCCAAAGACCUCAGAGCAGGGAUUCCCACGUCGCAAUCAGACACUGUUUGCUAUUUGGUCCCAAACAGCCUUUGUUUUGAAAACUCUUGGCUAACGAUUAAAUUAUCUUUAUUAAUCAA